GGAGAGGUGGCUGAGCGGUUGAAAGCACCGGUCUUGAAAACCGGCAAGGGUUAAUAGCCCUUCGUGGGUUCAAAUCCCACCCUCUCCGCCA
rnacentral:tRNA from 1 species